rnacentral:lncRNA from 1 species
GAAUGUGAGAAGCCUAAGCCUUCACCAACUCCUUACUACUACAAAUCACCUCCACCUCCCUCACCAGUUUACAAAUACAACUCACCACCUCCACCGGUCCAUUAUUAUUCACCUCCAUACACCUACAAGUCACCUCCUCCCCCUGUGAAAGCGGCACCAACUCCUUACUACUACAAAUCACCUCCACCACCCGCACCGGUUUACAAGUACAACUCACCCCCUCCACCGGUCCAUUAUUAUUCACCACCAUAUACCUAUAAGUCACCUCCUCCCCCUGUGAAAGCGGCACCAACUCCUUACUACUACAAAUCACCUCCACCUCCCGCACCGGUUUACAAGUACAACUCCCCACCUCCACCGGUCCAUUAUUAUUCACCUCCAUAUACCUACAAGUCACCUCCUCCCCCUGUGAAAGUGGCACCAACUCCUUACUACUACAAAUCACCUCCACCACCCGCACCGGUUUACAAGUACAACUCACCACCUCCACCGGUCCAUUAUUAUUCUCCACCAUACUACUACAAGUCACCACCCCCACCAUCUCCAUCACCUCCUCCACCAUACUAUUUCAAAUACUAUUACAAGUCCCCACCUCCACCAUCACCAUCCCCUCCUCCACCUUAUUAUUACAAAUCUCCUCCUCCACCAAAACAAAUUUCACACCCUCCAUACUACUAUAAGUCACCACCCCCACCAUCACCAUCACCUCCUCCACCAUACUAUUAUAAGUCUCCACCUCCACCAUCACCAUCUCCCCCACCACCUUAUUAUUAUAAGUCACCACCCCCACCAUCCCCGUCCCCUCCUCCACCAUACUACUACAAGUCUCCACCUCCACCUAAAGAAAUAUCACAUCCUCCAUAUAACUAUAAGUCACCACCCCCACCAUCACCAUCCCCUCCCCCUCCAUACUAUUACAAAUCUCCUCCACCACCAUCACCAUCACCACCACCUCCCUACUAUUACAAAUCACCUCCACCACCAUCACCAUCACCUCCCCCUCCAUACUAUUACAAAUCUCCUCCACCACCAUCACCAUCACCACCACCUCCUUACUAUUACAAAUCACCUCCACCACCAUCCCCAUCACCACCACCUCCAUACUACUACAAAAGUCCCCCUCCACCAUCUCCAUCUCCUCCAUCCCCAUAUUACUACAAAUCUCCACCACCACCAUCACCAUCCCCACCCCCUCCCUACUAUUACAAAUCACCUCCACCUCCCUCACCAUCACCGCCACCUCCUUACUAUUACAAAUCACCUCCACCUCCCUCACCAUCACCGCCACCUCCUUACUAUUACAAAUCUCCCCCACCUCCAUCUCCAUCUCCACCACCUCCUUACCACUAUCAAAGUCCUCCUCCACCAUCUCCCAUUUCUCAUCCUCCCUACUACUACAAAUCCCCUCCACCACCAUCGCCGUCUCCUCCACCUCCUUACCACUAUGUGAGUCCUCCCCCACCAGUAAAGUCACCUCCACCACCAACUUAUAUCUAUGCUUCACCACCACCACCUCACUACAACUAAGCUCAAAGAGCAGAAGCUCCGUUCAUUAUAAAUCAUGUAAGUUUAUCAUCUUCAAUUUUCUGAAUGUGUGCGUGUGUAUUUGUUUUUUUGUUACAAGAUACUAACAAAAUUCUUUUCUUAUUUAUGU